AUGAUGCCUACAAAGACUUGGAAGGAGAAGCGCAUCGCAGCAGAAGAAAAUAAAAAUACGGAUGACAUCAUUAUUGUAGAAAAUUCAGAGAAUAAUAAAGAUGUACCAACUGAUAUGGAUGUUAAUAUGGUGUUCGCAUUGCCUAUUGAAUUUCGCGCGCCCGAGGCAGAAAUUGCUGAACUUGUUCUUGGCCCAAAGAAUGCUAUAUUUGAGAAACCAGAGAAGCAUGGGCAGCACCUAAAGCCAUUAUUUAUCAGAGGUCACAUUGAUGGUAAGCCUAUUGGUCGCAUGCUUGUUGAUGGUGGUGCAGGUGUUAAUAUUAUGCCCUUUUUGGUAUUUUCUAAACUGAACCGAAAAGGGAGCAAGUUAAUGAAGACCAACAUGGGAGUUAGUGGGUUCUCAGGAGAAUUGUCCGAGGCUAAGGGUGUUAUUUCUAUGGAGCUCACAGUCGGAAGCAAAACAUUGUCGACUGCAUUUUUUGUUGUCGAUGUCAAAGGCCGGUAUAAUAUUCUUCUGGGACGCAACUGGAUUCAUGCAAAUUGUUGUAUCCCUUCUACUCUUCAUCAAUGCUUAAUUCAGUGGGUUAAUGAUGAUGUCGAGGUGAUUGAGGCGGACAAUUCUUCUUGCAUUGCUUUGACGGAGGCACCAGUUGAUUGGCAACACGGUGACAUGCGAUGUUUGACCGGUAGGGAUAUAUCGGAUUAUGAUUAUAUCAGUAUCGGUAGAGAUGGUUUUGUACCUAUAAAUGCACAGCCGGCUGACAUAGCUCGGCUUAAUGAUUUAUCCAUAUAA
rnacentral:rRNA from 1 species